ACAUCCAGAGAACUUAGCAGAGAUGCUUUUGGUGCCUUUCGGGAACUCUGAGACAGGUGCUGCAUGGCUGUCGUCAGCUCGUGUUGUGAAAUGUUGGGUUAAGUCCCGNAACGAGCGCAACCCUUAUCCUUUGUUGCCAGCGGUUCGGCCGGGAACUCAAAGGAGACUGCCGGUGAUAAACCGGAGGAAGGUGGGGAUGACGUCAAGUCAUCAUGGCCCUUACGGCCAGGGCUACACACGUGCUACAAUGGCGCAUACAAAGAGAAGCGACCUCGCGAGAGCAAGCGGACCUCAUAAAGUGCGUCGUAGUCCGGAUUGGAGUCUGCAACUCGACUCCAUGAAGUCGGAAUCGCUAGUAAUCGUAGAUCAGAAUGCUACGGUGAAUACGUUCCCGGGCCUUGUACACACCGCCCGUCACACCAUGGGAGUGGGUUGCAAAAGAAGUAGGUAGCUUAACCUUCGGGAGGGCGCUUACCACUUUGUGAUUCAUGACUGGGGUGAAGUCGUAACAAGGUAAGCGUAGCGAG
rnacentral:rRNA from 1 species